rnacentral:lncRNA from 1 species
UGCCCAGCCUGCUCCUCGGACUUAUCUUUUAUUCAUGGACAAGCAGUGUUCUCCGCUUUACCAGGACUCAGGCAUCAAUAUUUCAUCUUGCUUAGCCUGCCAGCACCAUCUCUCUCCUGCUUCCCGCUGGCUCUAGGACCCAGAGGGCUGGGUGUGCUGUCGACCUGCAGCCAUAGGACUCUGGGCUGCUUCCUCGGGCCCUGACCUGUCCUCUAUGCCAUCCAUCUGGCAGAGCGGCCCGACCAGGCAUGGCGUCUUUCUGAGCCAGAAGUCUUGCUCACUUUUUGUCUAUGAACCUGAAUGCUGGAAGAAAAGAAGUGACAGCAGCGGUCAGGACCAGGGCUACUUUGUCCUCACCCGACACUCGCCUGUAGACCCUGAGGCCUCCUGUCUGUGCUCAGGACCCUGAGGGCUGGACUGCGCAUCUGGAGGGGCUCCUGGGCCAUGGGGGGCCUCCUGGAAGGGCACAAAGCCCUGAAAUUCAUGUGCUGGUGUGUCCCUCUGUGAAGAGAGUUGCUGUGACCCGCUCAGCUGCAGCCCCAGCACUGCUUGUAGGAUGUGCCAUUGUCACCAGCCUGCUGUCUCCUCAUUAGUUCUCCCUCCUCAGUCUUGUCCAGACAGCUUAGACUUCCUGGUCUCUUUCCCAGAGAGGGAUGAGGAAAUGGCAGCCAGAAGAAGAUGUGCUGCAUUUCUGGGGGGACCACGUGGCCUGCAUCUCUCUUCCUCUGUGGCCUCCACCCUUCUCAGAGUCUGCACCAAGUACUGACGACUCCUCCCCGAUGUCAGCCACAGCCACCCAGUUCCAAGCAGGGGAGGUGGUAGCUUUCUCCUCUGCUGGCCUUAGCACAGCCUUGGGGACCCAGAGGAACUUCAUCAUAUUGAUUCGCCAUUGAUAGAACCCAUCUUUAGGCCACUGGUUCUCAAACAUAAGCAUGUAUCAGAAUUGCCUGGCAGGCUUGUUAAAACCUGAAUUACUGGCCCCAACACCAGCUUCUGACUUAAUAAAUAAGGGAUGGGGGCUGAGAGUUUGCAUUUCUAACAAGUUCUUAGGUGAUGCUGAUGUUGUUGCUCUUUCGGGAUCACACUCUGAGAACCACUGUUGUUCUCAGCAAAAACCUCACUUGCCCUUCCAGUCUAAGGGGGUAGAGGAGGAAAGCUGAUCUCAUUGGGGAGAGGG